rnacentral:lncRNA from 1 species
UCCCUAUAAGAACACACAGUAAUUGUUAGCUUUAAGGAACUCCACAAAGUUGAUGAAAAGAUGACCACUAAAAUGAGAAUGUUGCUGAAGAAGCAGAAUCGCCAUACUAGCACGUCAUUCACUCUCCUCUAUUUGGAUCAAGUAAGGCUUGCUGGAUGAAGUACAACUAAACAACUGUCAGGAUAGGAAUCAGGAAGCUGGGUUUAGAAACCAACAACUUCAGUAUCAGCAAUUAUUGGAACUGAGUUCAAGAUCUAAGUAUAUGUACAAAAAAACCUGCAGCAAUUAUUUAUAUACAUUGUUAACAUAAAUAAGAGUUCUUUAAGCAUGUGCAUUGAAAUAAUAACCGUCUCCAGUAGCUUAUGCAGAUUCCAGGUGACAGCAUGUAUUCUGUAGUGGCAUGCGCCAAACACUAUCUCAAGUAUCCAAGGUAGCAGCAUGUAUUCUGUAGUGGCAUGCGCCACACACUAUCUCAAGUAUCCAAGGUAGCACUAGGGCAAUGCUUAUGAAGUCAAUUGUGUCCCCUACAGAACUAGCAUGCAAUUGAGGAAUAUAAACAGGAGAUGAUUGGAGGUGCUAAUAUUUGCACAAACAUCUUAAAGUAGGAGGCUGCCCUUAUACAUUUGCUUAUUUUGCCAAGAAAUUCACGAGGUGGUCCUUGAGUUGGAAGAACUCCCUCUGUGUUGCUCGACUCCCUCUCAAAGUUUUUUCAAAAUCCUAGUUUUACUGCCUCAUCUGCCAAACUAUUUCGCAUGUGCUUCAUAUCCAAUAAAAUCCUCCAACUUACCCCAUCUUUUGGUUCAAUCAAGACCAAAAACAUAAAUCAGCAGUCAAAUUAUUUAUAGCUGUCAAUAGACUU